rnacentral:rRNA from 1 species
UAAAGAAUUUCGGUAUGGGAUGGGGAUGCGUUCCAUUAGUUAGUUGGCGGGGUAACGGCCCACCAAGACAACGAUGGAUAGGGGUUCUGAGAGGAAGGUCCCCCACAUUGGGAAUGAGACACGGUCCAAACUCCUACGGGAGGCAGCAGUGAGGAAUAUUGGUCAAUGGACGAGAGUCUGAACCAGCCAAGUAGCGUGAAGGAUGACUGCCCUAUGGGUUGUAAACUUCUUUUAUAUGGGAAUAAAAUGUUCCACGUGUGGGAUUUUGUAUGUACCAUAUGAAUAAGGAUCGGCUAACUCCGUGCCAGCAGCCGCGGUAAUACGGAGGAUCCGAGCGUUAUCCGGAUUUAUUGGGUUUAAAGGGAGCGUAGGUGGAUUGUUAAGUCAGUUGUGAAAGUUUGCGGCUCAACCGUAAAAUUGCAGUUGAAACUGGCAGUCUUGAGUACAGUAGAGGUGGGCGGAAUUCGUGGUGUAGCGGUGAAAUGCUUAGAUAUCACGAAGAACUCCGAUUGGAGAGGCAGCUCACUGGACUGCAACUGACACUGAGGCUCGAAAGUGUGGGUAUCAAACAGGAUUAGAUACCCUGGUAGUCCACACAGUAAACGAUGAAUA